rnacentral:tRNA from 1 species
GCGCCUAUAGCUCAGCCUGGUAGAGCAGUUGCCUUUUAAGCAAACGGUCGCAGGUUCGAAUCCUGCUGGGCGCA